rnacentral:rRNA from 1 species
AUUGAACGCUGGCGGCAUGCCUUACACAUGCAAGUCGAACGGUAGAGGGGGCAACCCCUCGAGAGUGGCGAACGGGUGAGUAAAGCAUCGGAACGUGCCCAGUAGUGGGGGAUAGCCCGGCGAAAGCCGGAUUAAUACCGCAUGAGACCUACGGGUGAAAGGGGGGGAUCGCAAGACCUCUCGAUAUUGGAGCGGCCGAUGUCAGAUUAGGUAGUUGGUGGGGUAAAGGCCUACCAAGACGACGAUCUGUAGCUGGUCUGAGAGGACGACCAGCCAAACUGGGACUGUAACACGGCCCAGACUCCGACGGGAGGCAGCAGUGGGGAAUUUUGGACGAUGGGCGAAAGCCUGAUCCAGCCAUGCCGCGUGCGGGAAGAAGGCCUUCGGGUUGUAAACCGCUUUUGUCAGGGAAGAAAUCCUUUGAGCUAAUACCUCGGGGGGAUGACGGUACCUGAAGAAUAAGCACCGGCUAACUACGUGCCAGCAGCCGCAGUAAAAC